AAGAUUUUUUUCCCAUUUCAGGGGUCAAGCCGAGCUCCCGGGGGUAUCCGGAUGGCUUCAGUCCCAGUCCAGCAGCUCUGGGCACGGAGGCAACAGGGAGCGAGCAGUGAGCACAGACCCCAGCUGCCACCCAUGAGCACCCCAGUCUGCCCUCAGGACCACAUCCCUGCUGCCACCUCCUCGGCUGGAAGGUGCAACACACCGGGGAGGCUGCAGACACCCUCCUCCUUCCCGCAUCCCGGACCUUAGCUGCUGCCGGGGCCAAGCACAGGCAGUAAAACUUCUGGGCAAGGCUGCACAAAGCCCUGAAACAGCCGCAGAGAAAGGUGAUGCAACCACGAGGCUGCUCUUCACACCAGCACAUGGAAGAAGCAGUAUCUCAGGGGGCACUGAGCUACUUUCCCUGAAGAUUUGUGAAAGCAUUUUGUAGAAAGGAAUUAUUUUCCUCUGAAAUGCAACCACCUCUGUGGACAACAGCUGCAGAACUGCUCAGCCCAUCAGUGUGGGACAGAGGGACGGAGGACACCGAGCUAAGGGAUUAUGGAGACCUGGUGUUGUUCACACCAGCCGGGGGAAGUAUCUUGGUGCUUCUGGACUAGAAAUUGCUUCAGAGCAAACUCCGUUAAAUCUUUGCUAACGUGACAGGCUUCUUUAGACGUCCCUGAGAGGUGCAGAGGCUCAGUAUUGCUUGAAUAAAAAUGAGAUGUUUUGGUCUUGAUUUUGCACCCAGU